UACGAAGGGGGCUAGCGUUGCUCGGAAUUACUGGGCGUAAAGCGCACGUAGGCGGCUCUUUAAGUCGGGGGUGAAAUCCUGGAGCUCAACUCCAGAACUGCCUUCGAUACUGAAGAGCUCGAGUCCGGGAGAGGUGAGUGGAACUGCGAGUGUAGAGGUGAAAUUCGUAGAUAUUCGCAAGAACACCAGUGGCGAAGGCGGCUCACUGGCCCGGUAGCUGACGC
rnacentral:rRNA from 1 species